UGAGGAUUCUUGCCUUCCUAAUUUUGGUUGUGUGUCCCACAGUCCCGGGGAUCAGGAGGGGUUAACAGAAGACCAAGGGUCAGGUUUUCUGCACUGCGGGGAGCCACCCCAGAUCUGUAGUCCAGGCUCAUGCGCGGGUGAGGGGGUAGCUUCCAAGCCCCAAAGGUCGGAGAGCAAAGGUGUGGCCAGUUGUGGAGGGAGGGGGAGCCUCAGGUUGUUUGCAGUGCUGGGGAGAUAAGAAUAUUCAGGAAUCAGAUGGUGGUGAUGGUUGCACAGCUCUGUGAAUAUACUGCAGCCCACUGAGCACUACACUGUAAAGGGGUGACUAUUAUGGUGUGAGGAUUAUAUCCCAAUUUUUAAAAGAUGUGAAAAAAUUAAUGUUUAUUUAUACGAUAUAUAAGACAUUGAUUUUUAAAUACAGCGGUACCAUCCCCGUCCCCCAUAACCCUGGUUCCUCCAGGCACUUGGAGCCAUUUGUGGAAGGACGUGGACUCCUAGAAGGUGAUUCGCAAAGGUGCCACGUAAGCAGAGGAGCCAGGGGAAGCUGCCUGGACAUGCAUGCGCCUUGCAGUUCUGUCCUGCCAGGCUGCCUGCUCUUCCUCUUGAAAGCAAAAGCCUUCACUUGCUGAGGAUGCAACGAUGCCCUAGUGUCCCUUGCAGGAGCCAGUGUCAGAGCCAGGAGCUGUCGUGGGCAUCCCCUGCUCCAAAGUUACGAGUUCUGGUGAAGGGGUCAGGACAGCCCCUUUGAGAGUUCAGCAGAGCAGGUCUGCACCGGACCCACGCCACGCACAGCCCACACUCCACCUGCCCUGGUGCACACUGGCGGCAGCAGCCAGCCGCGGGGACCCCAGGCGCAGUGUUGCCGCGUGAACGUUAGAGCAGCCUCCAGAGGCGGGUUCGGUCUGCACACCUGGUUCGCGGGUGACGCGGUUGUGACUUGGCCCAGGUCAGUUGUUGGGGCCUGGCCAGCUGUGGGUGGUGAGGUUUUCUCGGACGCUUCAUCUGUUCUCGUUCUUGUUCGAAUUCCUUCUGCCUAAGAAUGACAGCUUUAAAAGCGAAAUGGCAGCACGUCUCCGUCAUUACACAGAAUCCCACGUGGGAAGACCCUAGUCGGAGGCCCCCACCCUUGCCCGGAGCUGGACUUUGGGGCAGCAGCAAACUGCAGUGAGUGUGAGUCACACCUGAGGACAGGUGGGCUGUCUUCAGGCUCCCAACAGGUCUGUCGCUUAAGGGGCUGGGGAAUGGGGGCUGGAAUGCCACGGCCUGCCCACCUGGGGGACUCUGGGCAGAGCUGGAGCAGCCAGGCAGGAAAAUAUCCCCCAGUUUCCAGAGAGUAAAAGCUGAUGGUCCUACUGAGGUGUGAAGGACAGUGACGGACAGUGAUGGAAGGUGAUGGACAGAGGAGGACAGUGAUGGACAGAGGAGGACAGUGAUGGACAGAGGAGGGCAGUGAUGGACAGUGACGGGCAGUGAUAGACAGCAACAGAGAGUGGAGGACAGUGAUGAACAGCAACAGACAGUGGAGGGCAGUGAUGGACAGUGGAGGACAUUGGAGGAUAGCAGAGGACAGUGAGGGACAGCAGAGGACAGUGAUGGACAGCGGAGGACAGUGAUGGACAGCAGAGGACAGUGAUGGACUGCGGAGGACAGCGAUGGACAGCGGAGGACGGCGAUGGACAGCGGAGGACGGCGAUGGAGAGCGGAGGACGGCGAUGGAGAGCGGAGGACGGCGAUGGAGAGCGGAGGACGGCGAUGGAGAGCGGAGGACGGCGAUGGACAGCGGAGGACGGUGAUGGACAGUGGAGGACGGUGAUGGACAGAGGAGGACGGUGUGGACAGCGGAGGACGGUGAUGGACAGCGGAGGAUGGUGAAGGACAGAGAAGGACAGCAAUGGAAGGACAGGCACCCCAGUCAGCACAAACACAGGCCGAGUGGGGCCCAUGCAUUUCUGGGAGGACUGGCAAGCUGGGAAAGGCCUCCAGGGCAGGGAAACUCAGGAGAGUGACAGCUUGUUCAGGCCAGGACCUUGUGCAUCUUCUCCUUUUUUCUUUCUUAGUAAACCCAGUGUAUUCAUUUCUAGUGGCUGCCAUAUAAAUUCCCAUAAACUAGCGUCUUGAAGCCAUGGAAGUUUGUUAUGUCCCAGUUCUGGAGGCUAGACAUCUAACAUCCAGGUAUGGGCAGGGUUGCCCUGCCUUCGAAGCUCUGGGGAGGGUCCUUCCUGCCCCUCCCAGCUCCCGUGGCUCCCAGCGUCCUUAGCCUGUGGCCGUUAUUGCUCUGGUCUUUGCCUCCACCUUUG
rnacentral:lncRNA from 1 species